rnacentral:rRNA from 1 species
UACGGAGGGUGCAAGCGUUAUCCGGAAUCACUGGGUUUAAAGGGUGCGUAGGCGGCUAUGUAAGUCAGUUGUGAAAUACCUCGGCUUAACCGAAGGAAGUGCGAUUGAUACUGCGUAGCUUGAAUCAGGUUGAGGUAGGCGGAAUGUGACAUGUAGCGGUGAAAUGCUUAGAUAUGUCAUAGAACACCGAUUGCGAAGGCAGCUUACUGGGCUUGAUUGACGCUGAGGCACGAAAGCGUGGGGAGCAAACAGG